AACGAACGCUGGCGGCAUGCCUAACACAUGCAAGUCGAACGAAGUCUUCGGACUUAGUGGCGCACGGGUGCGUAACGCGUGGGAAUCUGCCCUUGGGUGCGGAAUAACUUCUCGAAAGGGAUGCUAAUACCGCAUAAUGUCGUAAGACCAAAGAUUUAUCGCCCAAGGAUGAGCCCGCGUAAGAUUAGCUAGUUGGUGGGUAAAAGCCUACCAAGGCGACGAUCUUUAGCUGGUCUGAGAGGAUGAUCAGCCACACUGGGACUGAGACACGA
rnacentral:rRNA from 1 species